GACGAACGCUGGCGGCGUGCUUAACACAUGCAAGUCGAACGGAAAGGCCCUGCGUUUGCUGGGUGCUCGAUUGGCGAACGGGUGAGUAACACGUGAGUAACAUGCCCUUGUCUUUGGGAUAACUUCAGGAAACUGGGGCUAAUAUCGGAUAUGAGCUCCUGCUGCAUGGUGGGGGUUGGAAAGUGUCGGCGGUGUGGGCUGGACUCGCUGCUUAUCAGCUUGUUGGUGGGGUAGUGGCUUACGAAGGGUUUGACGGGUAGCCCGCAUGAGAGCGUGGACGGCCACAUGGGGACUGAGAUAGGGAGCAGUCUGCUACGGGACGCAGCAGUCGAGAAUAUUGCACAACGGGGGGACGCCUGUUGCAGCGACGCCCCGUGCGGGAUGCCGGCCUUCGGGUUGUAAACAGAUUUCGCAUGUGACGAAGCGUGAGUGACGGUACUGGGUCAGGAAGCCCCGGCUAACUACGUG
rnacentral:rRNA from 1 species